rnacentral:rRNA from 1 species
CAUCCUUUAAAGAAAGCGUAAUAGCUCACUAGUCGAGUCGGCCUGCGCGGAAGAUAUAACGGGGCUAAACUGAUAACCGAAGCUGUGGAUGCGCAUUUAUGCGCAUGGUAGAGGAGCGUUCUGUAAGCCGUUGAAGGUGAAUCGUAAGGUUUGCUGGAGGUAUCAGAAGUGCGAAUGCUGACAUGAGUAACGAUAAGGGGGGUGAAAAACCCCCCCGCCGAAAGAUCAAGGUUUCCUGUCCAACGUUAAUCGGGACAGGGUGAGUCGGCACCUAAGGCGAGGGCGAAGGCCGUAGUCGAUGGAAAAUCGGUUAAAAUUCCGAUACCGAUUCUUACUGCGAUGGAGGGACGGAGCAGGCUAGGCUAGCACGGCGUUGGUAGUCCGUGUUUAAGCGUGUAGGUAGGGGGAUUAGGUAAAUCCGGUUCCCUGUUGAUCUGAGACGUGAUGACGAUCUCUUGGGGCGACCCUUGAGAGAAGUAGUUGAUGCCAUACUUCCAGGAAAAUCUUCUAAGCUUCAGGUAAGAAUUGACCGUACUGUAAACCGACACAGGUGAUCAGGUAGAGAAUACCAAGGCGCUUGAGAGAACUUGGGUGAAGGAACUAGGCAAAAUGGUACCGUAACUUCGGGAGAAGGUACGCUCUCUUUGGUGAUCGGACUUGCUCCGUAAGCUGAGGAGAGUCGAAGUGACCAGGUGGCUGCAACUGUUUAUUAAAAACAUAGCACUCUGCAAACUCGUGAGAGGAAGUAUAGGGUGUGACGCCUGCCCGGUGCCGGAAGGUUAAUUGAUGGGGUUAUCUUCGGAGAAGCUCUUGAUCGAAGCCCCGGUAAACGGCGGCCGUAACUAUAACGGUCCUAAGGUAGCGAAAUUCCUUGUCGGGUAAGUUCCGACCUGCACGAAUGGCGUAACGAUGGCCACACUGUCUCCACCCGAGACUCAGUGAAAUUGAAAUCGCUGUUAAGAUGCAGUGUACCCGCGGCUAGACGGAAAGACCCCGUGAACCUUUACUAUAGCUUCACACUGGACUUUGACCUUACUUGUGUAGGAUAGGUGGGAGACUUUGAAGCGUGAUCGCUAGAUUGCGUGGAGUCAUCCUUGAAAUACCACCCUGGUAAUGUUGAGGUUCUAACUUGGCUCCUGAAACGGGAGUGAGGACAGUGUGUGGUGGGUAGUUUGACUGGGGCGGUCUCCUCCUAAAGAGUAACGGAGGAGCACGAAGGUACCCUAAGAGCGGUCGGAAAUCGCUCGUUUAGUGUAAUGGCAUAAGGGUGCUUGACUGCGAGAGUGACAACUCGAGCAGGUGCGAAAGCAGGUCAUAGUGAUCCGGUGGUUCUGAAUGGAAGGGCCAUCGCUCAACGGAUAAAAGGUACUCCGGGGAUAACAGGCUGAUACCGCCCAAGAGUUCACAUCGACGGCGGUGUUUGGCACCUCGAUGUCGGCUCAUCACAUCCUGGGGCUGAAGCCGGUCCCAAGGGUAUGGCUGUUCGCCAUUUAAAGUGGUACGCGAGCUGGGUUUAGAACGUCGUGAGACAGUUCGGUCCCUAUCUGCCGUGGGCGCAGGAGAUUUGAGAAGAGUUGCUCCUAGUACGAGAGGACCGGAGUGAACGAACCUCUGGUGUUCGGGUUGUGUCGCCAGACGCAUUGCCCGGUAGCUACGUUCGGACAGGAUAACCGCUGAAAGCAUCUAAGCGGGAAGCCCCCUUCAAGACGAGAUCUCCCUGAGGACUUGAUCCUCCUAAAGUGCCGUUGAAGACGACGACGUUGAUAGGCUGGGUGUGUAAGUACAGUGAUGUAUUGAGCUAACCAGUACUAAUUGCACGUGAGGCUUGACC